rnacentral:rRNA from 1 species
AACGAACGCUGGCGGCAUGCCUAACACAUGCAAGUCGAACGAGAUCUUCGGGUCUAGUGGCGCACGGGUGCGUAACGCGUGGGAAUCUGCCCUUUGGUUCGGAAUAACAGUUGGAAACGACUGCUAAUACCGGAUGAUGACGAAAGUCCAAAGAUUUAUCGCCAGAGGAUGAGCCCGCGUAGGAUUAGCUAGUUGGUGUGGUAAAGGCGCACCAAGGCGACGAUCCUUAGCUGGUCUGAGAGGAUGAUCAGCCACACUGGGACUGAGACACGGCCCAGACUCCUACGGGAGGCAGCAGUGGGGAGUAUUGGACGAUGGGCGAAGGCCUGAUCCAGCAAUGCCGCGUGAGUGAUGAAGGCCUUAGGGUUGUAAAGCUCUUUUACCCGGGAUGAUAAUGACAGUACCGGGAGAAUAAGCUCCGGCUAACUCCGUGCCAGCCGCCGCCGUAA